rnacentral:lncRNA from 1 species
GCUUCCCCUUGCAUGUAAAAAGAAAUCAUGGAAAGCCGCUGGUCUGGUGGCACCAUAUACAGUUGAAAAAACUGUUCUGCUUGAAAAAUCCAAUUUAAAGGUUCUGAACCAUCAAAAGGACUCAGUUGCAAUUUUGGGGGUCUAGGUUGAGUAGGGUUAGUGGUAUGGUGAGGGUUGUGGUAAUGAGGUGGGGGAACGUUUGGUGGAUUUUAUGGGGGCUAUUGGGAAAAGGGAAAACUAGUGUGUGGUUGGGUCACGUGGGAAGAGGGAGUGUGGCCAAGAGGUGAUUGUGUAUGGUCUGGUUGUAUAGGAGGAAAAUUUUUUAAGGUCACUUAAGCGGUCUGUAAUUGUAUGAAGGACGGUGGUAAUGGCAGCAUGUCUAGCAUCCUGCAAUUCCUGGUUUUCCUUUAGCUGAUCUAGCAAAAGUUGUGUGAUGGGGUCUUCUGGUUCUUUGUGAGUGUUUUUGUGAGGCAUAUUGAGUGUAGGAAUGAAAGCACCAAAUGUUAGGAAGCUAAUUAAGGCUAAAAGAAUAACUAAAUGAAGAUUAUAAUUCUGGAAAAUGCUUGCCUCCUUCAUUCAUUUAUUAGACUAUUUAAAGGGAAAUAAAGAAAUUAACAUUUGAUCUAGACCUUACACAUGGUCAGAUUUACAAGAGACAUACUAAAAUAUCUUGAUAUUUUGAAGGAUUUACUCCUCUACAUAGUCACUCAUCCAAAUUGGUUUCUUAGUAUUCCUUUUGGGCCUAAUGACCUGAUGGGUCCUAACAUACCAUUUCUAAC